AAUCUCAUUGACCAGAAGGGAUUCCUUCCGUUCAAUGAGGUAUAACAACCUCAUCGUCCAGAAGGGAUUCCUUCUGGUUGAUGAGGUA
rnacentral:miRNA from 1 species